GGAGGGGUGCCGGAGCGGUCAAUCGGAGCAGACUGUAAAUCUGCCGCCCAUGCGGGCUACGUAGGUUCGAAUCCUACUCCCUCCA
rnacentral:tRNA from 1 species